CCCUCUCUUCUCCAUUUCUCCUUAAUUUUUUUUUCUAUCUCUUUACCUCUCUCAAGACUUAGCCGCGGCCCCUCUCCUCUUCCCUCUUCCCUCUUCCCUCUUCCAAUCUCUUAAGAAUCUCUCAAACCCAUCCCCUCUUUCAAGAAUCUCUCAAACUCAUCCCCUCUCUCUUUCUCAUCUCUGAUUCUCUUUCUCUUUCUCUCAAGAAUUACAAUCGCUUCUUCCUCUUCUCAUCUUUUUCUUUUUCUUUUUCUUUCUCUAACUCUUUUUGUACCUGCAGGUUGGCGUGCGCGGAGCAGUGGAGGUGCACUGGCGACGCUAAGGUCGCAGUGGCGGUGGAGGUUGGUUGCGCGGUGGAGGAAACCAUGGCUCGUGACAGUGGAGUGGUGUAGGCAGUGGAGGCUCUCUAUUUGCUCUUUUUUUUUCUUUGUUUGUUUAUCAAUACGAUAAUUUUGAGUUUUAUUUUUAUUUUUCUUUGUAAGAAUUUUGUUUUUUUCUUUGUAUUUCUUUGUAAGAAUUCUCCAUUUUUUUUUAAUCUAUAAGAAUUGUAAGUUUUUUUAUUGAAUCAUUAAGAAUUUGUUUGAAAUGAA